GACGAACGCUGGCGGCGUGCUUAACACAUGCAAGUCGAACGGAAAGGCCCUGCUUUUGUGUGGUUCUCGAGUGGCGAACGGGUGAGUAGCACGUGAGUAACCUUCCCUGGGCUGUGUGAUAACUUCAGGAGACUGGGGCUAAUGCCUGAUACGAGCUCCUGCUGCAUGGUGGGGGUUGGAAAUUUUCGGCUGUUGGGGAUGGACGCGCGGCUUAUCAGCUUGUUGGGUGGGGAGUUGCUUACCAAGGCUUUGACGGGUAGCCGGCCUGGGAGGGUGACCGGCCACAUGGGGCCUGAGAGACGGACCAGAGUGCUAUGGGAGGCAACAGUCGGGAAUAUUACACAAUGGGGGGACGUGUGAUGCGGCAAUGCCGCGUGCGUGAUGACGGCCUUCGGGUGGUAAACCGCAUUAGCCUGUGACGAAGCGUGAGUGACGGUAAUAGGUAAAGAAGCACCGGCUAACUACGUG
rnacentral:rRNA from 1 species